rnacentral:rRNA from 1 species
GACGAACGCUGGCGGCGUGCCUAAUACAUGCAAGUAGAACGCAGUUGCGAACGGGUGAGUAACGCGUAGGUAACUGCCUCAUAGCGGGGGAUAACUAUUGGAAACGAUAGCUAAUACCGCAUACUGUGAGAUGGACCUGCGUUGUAUUAGGUAGUUGGUGAGGUAAAGGCUCACCAAGGCGACGAUACAUAGCCGGCCUGGGAGGGUGGUCGGCCACACUGGGAACGGGGAACGGCCCAGACUCCUUCGGGAGGCAGCAGGAGGGAAUCUUCGGCAAUGGGCGGAAGUCUGGACGAGCAACGCCGCGUGAGUGAAGGAGGUUUUCGGGUCGGAAAGCUCUGUUGUUAGAGGAGCGUUAACUACCCAGAAAGGGACGGCUAACUACGUGCCAGCAGCCGCGGUAAUUC